AUGCAAUCAAGAUAGAGAACGUUGUGCUCCACACGGUGGCGGUCGACCAGGGCUCGCUGACGGACAAGGACAUCGAGAGCGACAGCUUCACGUCACCUCUACAGACAUAUCAGCUCAGGUACGGAUUCCAAGACGGCAUCGUGGACUCGGUCUGCCCCGAGAGCGGGGACCCGACGUGGUCCGUCAACGUGAAAAAGGGCAUCGU